rnacentral:lncRNA from 1 species
GUUUUUUUCCCCCCGACGAAUGGGACACAAUCAAAUGUUAAACCUAUUUUCGUUUAAAGAAGAAUCCUACCUUUGAAUAGGAAGAACACGCUUCGCAGAAGUGCAUUUCCGCAUCUGCUCAGAGCAAGUGGUGAGCCAAAUCCACAGCCACUAACUGAGAGCAGCCGAUAAUGGCGGCCCAAAUCUUCAGAACACUCACUGCCAAACCCCUCGUCGCAUCCGCCCUUCUACGCCGCACCACAACCACCUCAGCUCAGUAUGUAGCCUCCAGAGCCCGAGAUCCCACCUUCGAAAAGCUCAUGGAGAAAUACAAGAUCCUCCUCAAAGCGAUCGCCAUCCAGGACCUCAUUCUUGCCUCAACCUCCGACCCACCCUCCGUUUCCCUCGACUUCCUCCAUCGUCUCUCCCAGAAACUUCACCUUAACCGGGGCCCAGCCGCCUUCCUCCGGAAGUACCCCCACAUCUUCCACAUUUUUCACAACCCCGAAAAACUCCAGCCUUUCUGCUCCCUCACUCCCGCCGCCCUACAAGUCAUCCGUCAAGAGUCUGAGGCUAUUGAGGACUCAUUGCCACUUGUAGUCACGAGAUUGGUAAAGCUUCUCUCCAUGUCAAUGACUAAAAAGCUGCCUCUUCGAGCCCUUUUUAAGGUAUGGAGAGAAUUGGGCCUCCCCGAUGACUUUGAGGACUCUGUUAUUGCAAAAAAUUUUGACCUCUUUUCGCUUGCCGAUGGAAAUGAGCCCAAUACUCAUGUUUUAAGGCUCAAUUCUUGUGAAGUGCCAAAGGAUUGUUUGGUUCCCGCUGUCGAAAAAUGGAGGGUUGAAGAAUGUUGUAAAGAGGAUUGUAGUGUGGAUAGGACUGAAUUGAAGUAUAGAUUUAAACACGUGUUUCCACCAGGGAUGCGUUUGACAAAGAAUUUUAAGGCGAAAGUAAAGGAAUGGCAGAGCUUACCGUAUAUUGGGCCAUAUGAGGAAAUGGGUUUGGUGGAGAAAAAGAGGAGUAAGAGUGGAAUGAUGAGAGUGGAAAAGCGGGCAGUGGGGAUUGUGCAUGAGUUCUUGAGCUUGACUGUGGAGAAGAUGGUGGAGGUAGAAAAGAUUAGUCAUUUUAGGAAAUGGUUUGGAAUUGAAUUGAAUAUUAGGGAUUUGUUCCUGGAUCAUCCUGGGAUGUUCUAUUUGUCGACCAAAGGGAAGAGACACACAGUGUUUCUGAGGGAGGCAUAUGAGAGGGGAUGCUUGGUUGAGCCAAAUCCAGUUUAUGAGGCUCGGAGGAAGCUUCUUUAUCUUGUUGCUUUAGGGUGUCGUGGCUUGGACAGAGGGGGUAGUGAGUUGAAGAUUGUGGAGAGUGACGGAAACAGAGUGAAAGAAGUGAAGAAUGAUUGAGCUAGUGAAUUAGAGAAGUGAGUCGUUUGAGGUCUCUAUUGAAUGAAUGAUUUGCUAAGUGACAACAGUGCAUCUAGGAGGAUAAGAAUUGAAGGUCCAUAAUAAGAUGCCACGAGGAGUUCGAUCAAAGGGAACCCAUAAUGCACAAAUGGCCAGAAGUUGGGAUAUGCUUCUGUCCUCAGAGGUAACUACGUUAUCACUUACUUCCUCCUCUGGUCCCUACUGUUUUAGCUAGUCGAUCUCUAUGUUCUCUUUUUAAAUUCAUUAGAUGGUUG